UCUUUUCCACUCCCCAUGUGUUCUACCUUUCUUCAAUGGGCGACAUUGCUCUUCAGGUUCAGGAUCACUUGACGCAGCUCAGCCGAGAUGACAAGGUGUCAACAUCCUGUUGGCUGUUGCAAGUAGCCCUCAAAUGUCUAGUGUGGGGUGCAGAAAAUAUGAGGAAGUUUUGUCCUAUAUACUUGUAAAGGGUGCUUUUCACAAGAAUGGUCUUCAACUUUGUCGUAAGGAUUUACAAAGCUGAAAUUCAAAACUCGGGAGCGGCCAGGUGGCGGCAAUGAUUCCAGUUUUUGGCUGGAUUUGCUUCAGUGGUUGGGUUUCUGGUUGACAGGUCUAACCAAGUGGGAAUGAUGGAAUCUUUGCUGCUGGAGUUAUUGG